rnacentral:rRNA from 1 species
CCUACGGAGGCAGCAGUGGGGAAUAUUGCACAAUGGGGGAAACCCUGAUGCAGCGACGCCGCGUGAGUGAAGAAGUAUUUCGGUAUGUAAAGCUCUAUCAGCAGGGAAGAUAAUGACGGUACCUGACUAAGAAGCCCCGGCUAACUACGUGCCAGCAGCCGCGGUAAUACGUAGGGGGCACGCGUUAUCCGGAUUUACUGGGUGUAAAGGGUGCGUAGGUGGCAGGGCAAGUUGGUUGUGAAAUCCCUCGGCUCAACUGGGGAACUGCAACCAAAACUAUUCUCCUUGAGUGUCGGAGAGGAAAG